AGGCAGUGGCGGGGGAAGGCACCGGUGGGGCCGACGGGCGGGCUGAGGAGGGAAGCGGACGAGCGAAGUCCCAGUGCGCGCCGCGGCGGCCGGGGUACCCUCCCCUUCCGGGCGUGAGGCGCUGAGAGGAAAGCGGAGCGGAGCGGACUCGCAUCGGCAGCGAGGUGCUUCUCGGGGUGCCCCAGACCGGCCUCCCGCGGCUUCGGCGCUCCAGUCGCGGGGCCCGGGUUCCUCCACACACCUAGCUCCAGCCGCCGUCAGAGCUUGUCCCCAGUUCGUCGAAGCCCCGGCGGUAGCCCGGGCUCUUGGCGGGGAGGAUGACGGAGCUGCAGUCUGCGCUGCUACUGCGAAGACAGCUGGCAGAACUCAACAAAAACCCAGUGGAAGGCUUUUCAGCAGGUUUAAUAGAUGACAAUGAUCUCUAUCGAUGGGAAGUCCUUAUUAUUGGUCCUCCAGAUACACUUUACGAAGGUGGUGUUUUUAAGGCGCAUCUCACUUUCCCAAAAGAUUACCCCCUCCGGCCUCCUAAAAUGAAAUUCAUUACAGAGAUUUGGCACCCAAAUGUUGAUAAAAAUGGUGAUGUUUGCAUUUCUAUUCUUCAUGAGCCUGGGGAAGAUAAAUAUGGUUAUGAAAAGCCAGAGGAACGUUGGUUGCCUAUCCAUACUGUGGAAACCAUUAUGAUUAGCGUCAUUUCUAUGCUGGCCGACCCUAAUGGAGAUUCACCUGCAAAUGUAGAUGCUGCGAAAGAGUGGAGAGAAGACAGAAAUGGAGAAUUUAAAAGGAAAGUUGCCCGAUGUGUAAGAAAAAGCCAAGAAACUGCUUUUGAGUGAUGUUUAUUCAAUAGCUAGUAGCUUCAAUUAUUUCAGGGAUGUAAGCUCUCAGCUACUGCCUCAGCGCCAUGCCUGCCUGCCUGCUGCCAUGCUCCCUGCAAUGAUGGUCAUGGACUCACCCUCUGAAACUGUCUCCAAUUGAGAAAUAUGGCACUGUUUUUCCUGCACUCUACCCACCUAUUGCUGGACUUCUGUUGUAACAAGUUGGCAAACUCUGGCUGGAACUGGGCUGCAAUAAAACAUGCCAGUCAUUAAUGCUGACAAGAGCCUAACAAGUGCCAACUUACAGAUGAUUACGCAUUUUGAAUUCUAAUGAACUGUUUUAACCUUCAGGAAGAAUUGUAAAGACCUGUACAUAGCACAACAUGAUCCGGAUAAUAUAUAUACUGUUCAUGUACAUCCACAAACACACCUUGUACCAAAUAAUGCUUUCUUGUAGUAGAAUAAGAAUCGUGUAAAUUCUAAAAGACUUUAGCAGGUUUUCUUUUCCCAUUCAUUGUUUCUUAUCAGUUCAAAAAGAUUCUUUAAAGCAUGUCAGGUGAAAACCAAUAAGGAUUAAAAGUUUCCAUAUAAUUUCCUUUAAACCAUUGAGUCUUCAUUAUAUUUACUAAUCUUUUGUAUUUGUUUUGACACACUACCCUUUCCUUUUAUCUCUUCUGUCUGCCAGAAAGUUCUCAAAUCACUUAGUUAAAAUACUGAAAUACUAAUAAAUUACUUGAUUUUCCAUGAUGACUUCAGAGGUGGGGUCAUCACUAGGUGCUUUGUCCUUUUGUACUGAGAUUCACCCAUCUCUUGGAUUGGAUGUAGCAAUAACAUUUUCUGGCCGUUGAGAGCUCUUGAUCUUAGUCAUUAUCUUCUGGGAACUUAAAAAGGAAAAAAAAAAAAAAAAAAAGUGAAGCCUGUUCUAAGUUCAACUUAGAGAAUUUUAUUCCAAACAAUACAAAAAUCCAGAUUUGAUUUUAUUUUUGCCCAUAAGUUGCCUAAUAUUAAGGUUGGAUGAAUAAAGCAUGCACAGCUACAGGCUUUCUACAUCUGGGAUUGCUAUUAAAAAUGCUAUUUGUCCCCUUACCCCUCUCUUAGUCCUUCAUAUUUCUUUGUUUCUUCUUUAGUGCAGAUUUUCCUCACCUAUUGUACAAAGAAAUUGCGAUGUAUAUUUUCAUGUAAUUUGAUUUUGGAAUUUUGUCACCUUAUGUAGUGAGUUCUUCCAAAAUAUAAUUUUUUU